rnacentral:rRNA from 1 species
CCCUUAGAUGUUCUGGGCCGCACGCGCGCUACAAUGGUCUUCGCAAACGGAUGCAUUCUCGAAGGAGAAUGCCAAUCUUGGAAUCUAUGCCUUGGUCGGGACAGUUGCUUGCAAUUUUUCGACUCGAACCAGGAAUUUCUUGUAAUCGUGAUUCAUCACAUCACGAUGAAUACGUCCCUGCCCUUUGUACACACCGCCCGUCGCUCCUACCGAUCGAAGAGUUAGGUGAAUUGUUUUGAUCGAUAAGAUUUGACUAUGGUCAACUCUCGUUGUGAAAUUCUGUGAAUCUGACUGUUUAGAGGAAGGAAAAGUCGUAACA